rnacentral:rRNA from 1 species
UGGGGAAUAUUGGACAAUGGGCGAAAGCCUGAUCCAGCAAUACCGCGUGUGUGAAGAAGGCCUGAGGGUUGUAAAGCACUUUCAAUAGGAAGGAAUACCUACCGGUUAAUACCCGGUAGACUGACAUUACCUAUACAAGAAGCACCGGCUAACUCCGUGCCAGCAGCCGCGGUAAUACGGAGGGUGCAAGCGUUAAUCGGAAUUACUGGGCGUAAAGCGUGCGUAGGCGGUUUUUUAAGUCAGAUGUGAAAGCCCCGGGCUUAACCUGGGAACUGCAUUUGAUACUGGGAAACUAGAGUUGAGUAGAGGAGAGUGGAAUUUCAGGUGUAGCGGUGAAAUGCGUAGAGAUCUGAAGGAACACCAGUGGCGAAGGCGGCUCUCUGGACUCAAACUGACGCUGAGGUACGAAAGCGUGGGUAGCAAACAGG